ensembl:lncRNA
GGCUUAUCAAGGAGGGGUGCUGAGAAAUUCAUUAGUCUAAAGAAGCUAAUUUCUCACUAGGACAAUCGCCAAGCACAGUGUAUCGUUAUAUACAUAGAGCGUACACGUGCAUGUUUCUGGAACAGCCUGCACGUCGAUGUUGUGCAGUACGAUUCAUAGGGAACGCAAUGGAAAUGAGAGAAAGGAAUGAACGUAAAGGGACUCUCUGUGGGUGUUUCUGAAGGUAUCUCACAGACGGCACUUAUACUCUGUAAUGCAAACUUUUAUGCGUCAAAAAAGAAAGACAUGGGACAGCACGGUAGUUUUGAAGAAAAGGGAUUUGUUGUCUAUGGCAGAGGAUAAUCAACAAGAAAUAAGGGCUGUGUAGGACUUUUCAAUAGGAACUUAGCAGCCUCGUAAGGAAAUCACAUCUCUUGCUAUCCGCAGAUUUCUCUGACACAGCUCUGGACUUCAUCUCUAUCCCAGUGCAUAAAAAAGCGCAUGUACACUCCUACUUCAUUUUGUAGAGGCUCUUCUCUAAGUUGAGAAGUGGCAGAAGGCACUAUUAACAAUAUUUAACCAGCAGAUACAGAGAGGAAACUAUAAGAGAAUAGGAGGAGCACUGGCCCUGCAAUGGCAGAACUCACCGCUUUAUUUCGUGUAACUUGGUUCUAGGGUUAGGGUUAGGGCAGGGUAAGGGUUAGGGUCAUGGUACGGGUUGAAGUUAGCUUUAGGGGUUAUUGUUAUGAUUAGCUUAUGUUUAGGGUUAGCCUUAAAUACUGGUGUUAGGGUUAGAGAUAGAGUUAGGGGGAGGGUUAGGGUAAAGGUUAGGGUUAGGUUUAGGGUUAGGGUUAGGCCUACGUUAUCAUAUAGGGAUUAGGGUUAGGGUUAGGGUUAGGGUUAGGGUUAGGGUUAGGGUUAGGGUUAGGAUUAGGCUUAGGCUUAGCGUUAGGGUUAGGGUUAGGGUUAGGCUUAGGGUUUCCGUUAGGGUUAGGGUUAGGGUUAGGGUUAGGGUUAGGGUUAGGGUUAGGGUUAGGGUUAGGGUUAGUGUUAGGGUUAGGGUUACGGUUAGGGUUAGGGUAAGGAUUAGGGUUAGGGUUAGGGUUAGGGUUAGGGUAAGGGUAAGGAUUAGGGUUAGGGUUAGGGUAAGGAUUAGGGUUAGGAUUAGGGUUAGGGUUACGGUUAGGGUUAGGGUUAGGGUUAGGGUUACGGUUAGGUUUCAGGUUAGGGUUAGGGUUAGGGUUAGGGUUAGGGUUAGGGUUAGGGUUAGGGUUAGGGUUCAGGGUUAGGGUUAGGGUUAGGGUUAGGGUUAGGGUUAGGGUUAGGGUUAGGGGUUAGGGUUAGGGUUAGGGUUAUGGGUUAGGGUUAGGGUUAGGGGUAGGGUUAGGGUUAGGGUUAGGGUUAGGGUUAGGGUUAGGGUUAGGGUUAGGGUUAGGGUUAGGGUUAGGGUUAGGGGUAGGGUUAGGGUUAGGGUUAGGGGUAGGGUUAGGGUUAGGGUUAGGGGUAGGGUUAGGGUUUAGGGUUAGGGGUUAGGGUUAGGGUUUGGGUUGGGUUAGGGUUAGGGUUAGGGUUAGGGUUAGGUUUUUGGUUAGGGUUAGGGUUAGGGUUAGGGUUAGGGUUAGGCUAAGGGUUAGGUUAGGGUUAGGGUUAGGGUUAGGGUUAGGGUUAGGGUUAGGGUUAGGGUUAGGGUUAGGGUUAGGGUUAGGGUUAGGGUAGGGUUAGGGGUUAG